UACGUAGGGUGCGAGCGUUGUCCGGAAUUAUUGGGCGUAAAGAGCUCGUAGGCGGUCUGUCGCGUCUGCUGUGAAAUCCCGAGGCUCAACCUCGGGCUUGCAGUGGGUACGGGCAGGCUAGAGUGCGGUAGGGGAGAAUGGAACUCCUGGUGUAGCGGUGGAAUGCGCAGAUAUCAGGAAGAACACCGAUGGCGAAGGCAGUUCUCUGGGCCGUAACUGACGCUGAGGAGUGAAAGCGUGGGGAGCGAACAGG
rnacentral:rRNA from 1 species